AAGUUUUCAUCACAUUUUUGAAUAUAUGUAAUUAAAAAUUUUCGCCUGAUAUAUAUAUGUUUUUGUAUCCAUGGUUAAAACAUUCUCUAAAUAAAAUUUUAAGAAUUAACUCAUAAAAUAUUUAAAUGUUACAAAUUAUAGAGUUACAUGUCUUAGUGGAGUUAUAACACUAACGAGUUUACAAAAUCAAAACUCAUAAAAUUAUAGAGUUUAGGCAAAAAAAAAAAAAAAAUCUAAUAUGUAAAUGGGUCCGUGGGGCGGGUCUGGGUCUAGCAUAUGUGGACCCGGACCCAGACCCGACCCAUGCUCUUUGGGACCCAGACCCGACCCGGACCCAUUGGGUCUAAAGUUUCAGGACCCAGACCCUUAUAAAUAGGUCGGGUCCUAGCGGGUCUGGGUUGGGUCCAGGACCCAUUGCCAUCCCUAAUCAUUGCAUUGAAGAUAUUCUUCUCACAGCUCCUCAUAUCGCCUUGUACACAAUCAGCAUGUAUCAAAAUCAAUGGGUUCAACAUCCUUCUUCCUCUCUUUUGUUCUUUAGAUUUUUCUCUUUUAAAAUUUCCUAAUUCCUUUCUAUUAAGUUCCAUUAAUUACAGAACUGCAAGGAUGUUCAAGCUUCACUCUUUGUUGUUAAAAGCAACACUAAGGAGACACUAUACGUGAAGCCUAGAGUAUAUGCAGGCUGCAUGAAGCACGGUAGAUUCUUGCUAAAAGAAAAAACAAAUACAAGGUUUAAGAUUGCAAGCGGGUUGUUAGUUGGUGCAUCGUCUGAAUUGGUCGAGUAGGGAGAAAGGGAGCCUUUGGUUUGCUCUGCUUUGGACCUUUUGGUUAUGGAACAAAAGCACUUGUAACACAUAUCUUGUGUGACU